AGACUGCUAAGCUGAUAGGGUAACCCUGCCUCCUGAAAACAGGCAUCUCAUCUCUGCAGGAUGUGGGAAGGAGGAGGUGGGGACAUCAGCACUUCAUCUGUGUGCAGAGCACUGGGGUUGGUGCUGUGGGGCGACCACAAGAGGCUGUAGGUGCCCCUGUUUGCCCCAAAGCUGGCCAGCCCAACUCAGGACUGCAGGGACCAUGUGAAUGGCAAGUAGACUCCGUUAGAGGGUCAUGCAGCGAGGCAGUGGUCAGGACAAGGUGGGCAGCUUUGUGCUGUCUGUACAUUCGAUUGAAAAAGGAAAACAGCACUUGAGCAGGGUUGGGGUUUCUGGAUGGCUUAAUUAUUUCAAUAUGACAUUUGUGGUAUGAAGUAGUCUAGUAGUAGGGAUCUUGACUUCUCAAGGGUUUAAAAGUAUUUCCUUUGGAAAGUGCUGUCCUGCACCAAGGAGUCUGGAUUCUUCUUAUUCUUGAUUUCUGGUGUCUCUUAGGUUGAGAGUAGGGUCUAGGAGCAGAGAGCACAGCUCCUGUCCUCAGGAAGCCCAUGGUCUCCGGGAAGGGCCAGAGCCCUGUCCAGAGCACUCACAGCAAAGCAGUCUUGCAGGGCAGGGCCUCUGAGCCAUGUUUGCAAGGGGUCAGAUGGAGUGUAGGGAGGGGACCUGAGACAAGGUGCGGGAAGGUGGGCUGAACGAGAGGGCAGAAGGUUCUUGGAGGAAGCGCCCAUCUGCUGUGGGUUGGCCUAGCCAAGGUGCUGCUCUCCCCUCAGCUUCACCACUGACCCCAGGUGCUCCAGUGACACAUCUCGAGUUGCUUCCUGUCCCGGCCAGGGCCCAGCCGCCAUGACACACACGCCAGUGGAGGAAUCCCUCUUCCAAAUCAUCCGCUGCUACUGUCAGUACGCGGCCCGGGAGGGGGAUGUGGAGACCCUGUCCCUGGAGGAGUUGAAGGCUCUGCUUCUGGACAAUGUACCCUGCUUCAUGGAGAGCCUGGGCCGGAAGGAGCCCUACUACGUCUCGGAGCUGUUCCGGGCUGCAGACAAGAACAAGGACAACCAGAUCGGCUUCGAGGAGUUCCUGUUGGUGCUGGGGCGGCUGCUGACGCACUACCACCUGCUGUACCGCCGGCAGCUGUGCGCCAGCUACUGCACCCGGCACAGCCUGCACUAGGGGGCCUCCGCCCGCACCUGCCCCCGCGCGGCUGCAGGGCUCUGGGCACACGCGUGUGCAACGCACAGCUGUGAGGGAAG
rnacentral:lncRNA from 1 species